UUCAAACCGAAGUCGGACAAUGAUGGAGACACUCAAGAAGUGACAACAUGUAGAAUGCAACAGGACGUUUCUGAACGGUUAAUUGCUUAAUUUAUGUAGCUGAUGUGGGAUAUUUUCAGUCACGUGACUGUCGCGGAGCAACCAUAUAACUGCAGCACAAGCCUGUCAACUUCCCAUCUUAAAAACAAAAAUAUAUGAACAAGAUGCAAGUUUUGGGCACUUGUGAUCCAUAUACCGCACCUGCAGUGAUUUCAAUCACUAAAAACAGCGGGGCGAUUUUUUAAAAGGUAACGUGAAAAACACUAGGGUGGGUUGUACCAAAGUCCCUUUAAAACUGAAGUGCAUUAUGGGUGUCGCCGCCAUUUGUAAAGUAUCCAAACAAUCUCUGUGCAGUUGUAGUUGUUUUUUCGUUGGCUGCUUUUCAUUGUUAAAAAAAAAAAAAAAAAAAAAAAGCUGCAGUAAUAAUAUGUCCCACGAUAGAAAAUGUCAAAAACUUUACUACGAGACAAGAGUUAGUCGGUUUCCUACUUGAAAAAAGGCUGUACGGAGAGUAUGUAGAGGCAAUAACAGGCGAAUCGCAUGGGUUGCAGCGGUGAGACGCAAAAUAUUACUUUCGUCAAGAUAUCUCCAUUCUUGUAUGCUUGCUCUCUACGUUUUCACAAAGGUCAACCUGCUUAAAGAUUAUGGAGACUGACCCCAACUGGACAUCAUCCCUCCCCACAUUAGGGCCACAUCAGCAUUAAACACACGGGCUGUGUCCGAAAUCGCCCCCUAUACCCUUAAAUAGGGCACUAUUUGAAGGGACAGCCAUUUGUAGUGGUGGACGAUGUUGAGUGCACUCAUUCAAACCCACAAUGCACUGCAAUAACGAGUGUACAACCGAUCCACGCUCAACGGCUAGAGAAUACCCAUAAUGCACUGUGAGAGUCGCGUGCUGAAUGAAUUCCCGCGUCUCGCCAGGAGAUAGCGCCCGCAGCUGAAUCAAUCAUCCAUUCAUUUUCCAAACCGUGCUGGUCCAGCAUUAUCAUGCAGAUGAAGUUCCCAUUGACAUGCAUUUUACGACUGACAGACCGCAACGGUUGGAGUUAAAAAUCAUCAUUUGUGUUCUACUGAAGAAACAAAGUCACCUACAUCUUGGAUGCCCUGGGGGUAAGCAGAUAAACAUCAAAUUUUCAUUUUUGGGUGAACUAUCCCUUUAAUGCAAUAAAGAAAAAAUGCAUGAAAAAAGGGGUAGUAUUACAUAAUUCAAAAUUCUUCCUGAUCACAACACUAAACCAUCCUUAAUCAGGCACUUACGAUACAGUUAACAUGACAUCAUCAUCAUCAUUACAACAGAC